ACGUAAUGUGACAUGCCCGUUGGGGUUUUACUCUGAUUUUGUUGAAAUAUAAUAUUUUAUAUGAUUUUGGGAAACGGGGUGUUACAAUUGG
rfam:Medicago truncatula strain A17 chromosome 6, whole genome shotgun sequence.